GCAGGGCAUGGUGGCGCAUACCUGUAAUCCCAGCUACCCAGGAGGCUGAGGCAGGAGGUUGGAAGUUCAAGGCCAGCCUCAG
rnacentral:sRNA from 1 species